AAUCAACGCUGGCGGCGUGCCUCAGACAUGCAAGUCGAACGAGAACCUCCCUUCGGGGAGGGGACAGUGGCGCACGGGUGAGUAACACGUGGGUAAUUUACCUUUGGGUGGGAACAACAGCCGGAAACGGCUGCUAAUACCGCAUAAUGCAGCGGCUCGACAUCGAGACAGUUGUUAAAGCGGGGGAUCGCAAGACCUCGCGCCUAAAGAGAAGCCCGCGGCGGAUUAGCUAGUGGUAGGGUAAUGGCCUACCAAGGCAACGAUCUGUAACCGGCCCGAGAGGGGCGGUCGGUCACACUGACACUGACAUACGGGUCAGACUCCUACGGGAGGCAGCAGUCGGGAAUUUAGGGCAAUGGGCGAAAGCCUGACCCAGCAACGCCGCGUGAAGGAUGAAGCUUUUCGGAGUGUAAACUUCA
rnacentral:rRNA from 1 species